rnacentral:rRNA from 1 species
UACGGAGGGGGCUAGCGUUGUUCGGAAUUACUGGGCGUAAAGCGCGCGUAGGCGGCUUUGUAAGUUAGAGGUGAAAGCCCGGAGCUCAACUCCGGAAUUGCCUUUAAGACUGCAUCGCUAGAAUCAUGGAGAGGUUAGUGGAAUUCCGAGUGUAGAGGUGAAAUUCGUAGAUAUUCGGAAGAACACCGGUGGCGAAGGCGGUUCUCUGGGCAUUACCUGACGCUGAGGAGCGAAAGCGUGGGGAGCGAACAGG